CGGGGGAGGCCGGAUCCUGGGCUGUGUCCCGGCACCCAGUGCUCCCGGUCUGCGCUGUUGGAUUCGCACUCCCGCCCCGCAGCCCCCU
rnacentral:pre_miRNA from 1 species